UUGACGGAGAGUUUGAUCCUGGCUCAGGACGAACGCUGGCGGCGUGCUUAAUACAUGCAAGUCGAACGCUCUCGACCUUCGGGUCAUAUGAGAGAGUGGCGAACGGGUGCGUAACACGUGAGAAACCUGCCCCAAAGACGGGAAUAGCCCGAGGAAACUCGGAUUAAUACCCGAUACCUUCACACAGCCGCAUGGUUGAGUGAAGAAAGUUCAGGCGCUUUGGGAGGGUCUCGCGGCCUAUCAGCUUGUUGGUGAGGUAACGGCUCACCAAGGCAUCGACGGGUAGCUGGUCUGAGAGGACGAUCAGCCACACUGGGACUGAGACACGGCCCAGACUCCUACGGGAGGCAGCAGUAGGGAAUCUUGCGCAAUGGGCGAAAGCCUGACGCAGCAACGCCGCGUGAUCGAUGAAGCUUUUCGGAGUGUAAAGAUCUGUCGUGAGGGAAGAAUAACUUGGAUGCAAAUAGUUUUCAAGUCUGACGGUACCUCACAAGAAAGCACCGGCUAACUUCGUGCCAGCAGCCGC
rnacentral:rRNA from 1 species